GCCUGCCUAGCUCAAUCGGAUAGAGCGUCAGACUCUUACCAAGUCCGAUUGUGGUGUGUAGUUGAUCUGAAGGCUGCGAGUUCGACCCUCGCGGUGGGCU